AGAGGGCCAUGUAGUGGAAUAGAAGUACCUGGCUUCGGGCGAGACUUGGGUUUCCCAGGUUUUGUGGGUGAAGAUGUCCUCUGACUGAUUCUCUGGCAAUCCUUUGAUGGCUGCUAGCUUAGGCCAACUUCUCUAGAGUGAUGACUAAACUAAAGGUUCACUCCUGGAGAGAAAUUUUACCUCUGGAUGAAUCACAUCUUGAAUCUCAUGCAUUUAGAUAAUAUUUAGGAAGAGUGUCUUAGCCUCUGGACUACUGCCCAAUGAAGACAGCUAUGAAAUGCAUGGAUAACUUGUUAAUCAAUAUUUGUCGUAUGUACUGGCAGCAUCAGCAUCAGCUGGGAGCUUGUGGUGGUCUCCAGGUCAGACCUCAUGAAUCAGGAUAUCAGAGAGUGAGACCCAGGAAAGUGUGCUUUACUAAGUUCUUCAGGUGAUUCUUGAGUACUUUAAAGGUUGAGAAGCACUGUCUUAGGAUGUGGAGGAAUGAAGCUAGAGUGGCUGAGCUCUGUCAUUGACUAACCAUAUAAUCAUCAGAAAGUUACUUACCUUCUCUGGACCUU
rnacentral:lncRNA from 1 species